GGAAUUUACUCUGAAAAAAUUUUAAGUUUUAGCAACUUCUAAUCACAUGGAAAGGAAAGAUGUUUCAUUAUAAACUUUACUUUUGCAGUCAAGUUUUGUUCUUCCAAAAGUUUUGUGUUGUCAUUCCUUGUAGAAAAUUAAAAAAAUAAUGUGGUGAUAAAUCUUUUAGGCUUGCAAGAUUUCAUAACAUUAUAAUACAGGAACAUGUUUAUGUGUAGAUGAUACAAAAAUGGAAAAGAUUGCCAGGCUCCUUGAGUGGUUUGUUGGCUUAACUUCAUUAGGUUGACGAUUACUAAAUGUCAACUGCUUUUUCAACUUUUUCUGAUGUAAUAUUUUAUGGUGAAAAAUCUGACACAUUGCCUUGGCAUGUAAGAUAAUCAUUGUUCCUUUUUCUUAUUAUCAAUGAUGAAAAUCAAAAGUAAUUCCCUCUCUCUCUCUCUUUCUUUCUCUCUCUCUCUUCAAGGUGUACAUAUAAUUAAGCCUUCAGGUUCAGUUUUGUUUCUGUCAACUUCCUUCCAUUAAAGGCUUCCUUUUGCAGACCUGAAGAUAACUCCUGAAUCAGCAUAAGACAACGGCUAGCUUCACUCUGAGAUAUGGAGCCAACUGGAAACUCACCCAACAAGCAGUCAUCAUCUGUGAUGCCUCCCUUGCAGAGGGACUCUCGUGGAUCACUUGAAGUAUUCAAUCCUUCCUCUACCUAUUCGACCCGACCCACAAACCCAGCCUUUGGCUCCAACCCCACUUGGCAAAGUUGGGUUGUUGAGCAACCACAUGACAACCCAAAAUUUGAACCAUAUUCCAAUUUAUCUUCCAAGUCAGAUCGAACCGAAGAAAUCACAUCAUGGAUGGCUCUCAAGGACUCUACCCCACCACCUUCACUGCCAUUAUUUUCGUCACCAUCUGAUCAUGACGAAAAAUCAACCCCAAAAUUAUCUGGGGAAGUGGGUCUGGCAGCAAAAAGGGCGGCCGAGUGGGGCUUAGUGCUGGAAACCGACACUGAAACGGGUAAACCGCAAAGGGUUGGGGUGAGGACUUCGGGAGGGGAUGAAAACAAAACCGGUACUUCUCGGAGAAAUUCGAAUAAUUCGGUUCGGAGUUCCGGAGACUUAUCAGAUGAUGGAGGAAAAGAUUAUAAAGGAAUUCCAAGAAUAUCUGAAGACAUCAAAGAUGCAUUAUCCUCCUUCCAA
rnacentral:misc_RNA from 1 species